UAUAUUAACAACAUAGAUAUGUUUUAUUGCCCAAGUAUGUCCUCGUCCUGUUGCUUUAUAAUGAAGAACCUGCGUCAAGAACAAGGCCGGAAGUUGGCAUACAAUAAAUAAUCAUACCGAGUGGUUUACCGAAAACACUUGACGCCUAUGAGAAACGUACAAAAAGGUGGUGAAAAAGCUGCCUGCGCCAUCUAGAAAGCAAUAUAGAAUCAAAGAUUUCAACUUCGGGAGUAUCGCAGGAGUCCAACUUUGGGGGCCUUGCUGUUUCUACUACCAUGCGAUCAAAAAUGAGUUGCUGUCGAGUAACCUUUGGAAUUUUUGUUUACAUGGGAAAUCGUACUUAACCUGAACUUCCAAAGACGACUCGACAGACAUUUUUGAUCGCCAGUAUUAACUGAUGCAAUAUUCUGGAAAUAUAUUGGAAAGAAAUUGCAAAUUUCUUGAAUUGGAUAAAGAAGAAAAAACCAUCAAAAUCAUAUUAUGCCAUUUGCUUAUCUAACAGAUUAAAAGAUUCCUUAUCUGUACAAGGACUCAUCAACGUAUACUAUAUCAUGGAAUACUCCAUUUACCUACAAUUUAUCAAUGUAAGGAAACGACAAUAUUAAAAAAUUAUUUAUUGUU